GAAAGUAAGAAAGGGCGUAUGGCGGAUGCCUAGGCUCACGGAGGCGAUGAAGGACGUGAUAAGCUGCGAUAAGCUUCGGGUAGGUGCAAAUAACCCUUGAUCCGGAGAUUUCCGAAUGGGACAACCUAGCCGUCUGAAGGACGGUUACUAGCACUUAAGUGUUAGAGCUAACGCAGGGAACUGAAACAUCUUAGUACCUGCAGGAAGAGAAAAUAAAUGAAUGAUUCCCCCAGUAGUGGCGAGCGAACGGGGAACAGCCCAAACCGUUGACGUCGCAAGGCGCCAGCGGGGUUGUAGGACCGCGACAUUGUAUGCAAAUCGUGAACAGAACACUUUGGAAAAUGUGACCAUAGACGGUGAUAGUCCAGUAUGUGAAGCGAAAUGCAGCAUAGCGGUAUCCUGAGUAACGCGGGACACGAGGAAUCCUGCGCGAAUCUGCCGGGACCAUCCGGUAAGGCUAAAUACUCCCGUGAGACCGAUAGCGAACGAGUACUGUGAAGGAAAGGUGAAAAGAACCCCGAGCAGGGGAGUGAAAUAGUUCCUGAAACCAUACGCCUACAAGCGGUCGGAGCAUCUUACGAUGUGACGGCGUGCCUUUUGCAUAAUGAUCCUACGAGUUACCGUCACUGGCGAGGUUGAGUGUCACGAGACACGUAGCCGCAGUGAAAGCGAGCCUGAACAGGGCGCAUAGUCAGUGGGGGUAGACGCGAAACCAAGUGAUCUACACUUGGCCAGGAUGAAGUCCCGGUAACACGGGAUGGAGGUCCGCACCAAUAAGCGUUGAAAAGCUUCUGGAUGAGCCGAGUGUAGGAGUGAAAGGCCAAUCAAACUUGGAGAUAGCUCGUACUCCCCGAAAGGCAUUUAGGUGCCGCGUCGGAUGGUCACCGUGAGAGGUAGAGCGACCGAUAGGACAAGAGGGCUUCACCGCCUAUCGAGUCCUGACGAACUCCGAAUGCUCACGGUCUGCAGUCCGGCAGUAAGGGGGCGGGUGCUAAGGUCCGUCCCCGAGAGGAGAAGAAUCCAGACCGCCGUCUAAGGUCCCGGAGUUCUGCCUGAGUUAGUCUAACGAAGUCUGGUCCCUAUGACAGCUAGGAUGUUGGCUUGGAAGCAGCCAUUCAUUCAAAGAGUGCGUAACAGCUCACUAGUCGAGGGUCCGGGCAUGGAUAAUAAUCGGGUAUAAGGCAGACACCGAAGGCGCGGGAUAGCAUUUAAGAAAGUAUCGGUAGGGGAGCAUACUCACAGCGUGGAAUGGUGUACGUAAGUUAUCCUGGAGCGGUGAGUAAAGCAAAUGUAGGAAUAAGUAACGAUAAGGAGGGUUAGAUUCCCUCCCGCUGUAAGACCAAGGUUUCCCGGGCAAUGCCAAUCAGCCCGGGGUCAGUCGGGUCCUAAGUCUAAGCCGAACGGCGAUGGCGAUGGCAGAGACGGUUAAUAUUCCGUCACUGCCGCAUGGGGCGACGUGGAGACGGAGCAGUGAAACCACCGCGGGGCGACGGAAGUCCCCGUUGAAGAGUGUAGGUGUUGAGGAUGGCAGGCAAAUCCACCGUCCGAGCUGAACUUGAUAGUAUGGAGUCUUCUUCGGAAGAAUCCAAUAGUGUGGGUAAUCAUACUCCCGAGAAAAUCCGCUAAGCUUAACCCAUGCGGCACCCGUACCGCAAACGGACACACGUGGUCGGGUAGAACAUACUAAGGCGUUGAGAGAUUCAUGGUUAAGGAACUAGGCAAAUUGACCCUGUAACUUCGGGAUAAAGGGUCCUCGUGAUGAGCGAGGCGCAGAGAAUAGGUCCAGGCAACUGUUUAACAAAAACACAGGGCUGUGCAAACUCGAAAGAUGACGUAUACAGCCUGACACCUGCCCGGUGCCGGAAGGUUAAGAGGAGAUGUCACUCGCAAGAGGAAGCAUUGAAUUGAAGCCCCGGUAAACGGCGGCCGUAACUAUAACGGUCCUAAGGUAGCGAAAUUCCUUGUC
rnacentral:rRNA from 1 species